rnacentral:ncRNA from 1 species
AAGAACGCUGUGAACAGAUGAGUAGGAACAAAGCCGAUUUUAAAGAGAGCUAGGAUAGUGAAAGCUAGUAAUGAGGCAGUGCUGAAGAUGGUCUGGGAGCGUUGCGGUGAACUCCAAAAGUGAAGCUGCAGGUGCGAAGCCUUUAUGAAUUAAGAUAAACGUUUUUCGUUUAAAUAAAGGUGGCACCGCGGUGAAACGCCCUUUAC